GCCUCGCCUGUUUACCAAAAACAUCGCCUCUUGCUAAACCAAAAGUAUAAGAGGUCCCGCCUGCCCUGUGACUAUAUGUUUAACGGCCGCGGUAUUUUGACCGUGCGAAGGUAGCGCAAUCACUUGUCUUUUAAAUGGGGACCUGUAUGAAUGGCAUAACGAGGGCUUAACUGUCUCCUUUUUCAAGUCAGUGAAAUUGAUCUCCCCGUGCAGAAGCGGGGAUAGACACAUAAGACGAGAAGACCCUGUGGAGCUUCAGACACUAAAGCAGAUCAGUAUUAAUACCCUGAACAUAAGGCACGAAUAAGAUGAUUCCUGCCCUAAUGUCUUCGGUUGGGGCGACCGCGGAGAAAUAUAUAACCCCCGCAAGGACUGAAUGUACUACAUUCACAACCAAGAGUGACAACUCUAAUUAACAGAACUUCUGACCAAUAAGAUCCGGCAAUGCCGAUUAAUGAACCAAGUUACCCCAGGGAUAACAGCGCAAUCUCCUCUUAGAGUCCAUAUCGACGAGGAGGUUUACGACCUCGAUGUUGGAUCAGGACAUCCUAAUGGUGCAACCGCUAUUAAGGGUUCGUUUGUUCAACGAUUAAAGUCCUACGUGAUCUGAGUUCAGACCGG
rnacentral:rRNA from 1 species